rnacentral:misc_RNA from 1 species
UGCGGCUGGAUCCCCUCCUUUCUAAGGAGCACCGUUGUUUUCCCCCACCCCCACCCCUGUGUGGGAUCGAGUGUGGUUGGGAUAUCAGUGCCGGCGCCUGUAGUGGGUUGUCGGUGGGUGCGUACGUGACAGCAAAGCGUUGGUCGUGUGGGGAAAGCCGCGGCCGGCAGGCGGAAUCAUCAAGCACACUGUUGGGUCCUGAGGCAACACCUGCUGUUGUCCCGUGGUCGUUAGCGAUCGGCGGGGUGGGGUUGUCGCUCCAUCUUGGUGGUGGGGUGUGGUGUUUGAUUUGUGGAUAGUGGUUGCGAGCAUCUAACAGUAAUUGUUGUGCUGCUUUGUCAGUGCGACGAAUUUUGUUGAGUGUUUUCUUGUGUUUGUAAGUGUUUAAGGGCACAUGGUGGAUGCCUUGGCAUCAGGAGCCGAUGAAGGACGUGGGAGGCUGCGAUAUGCCUCGGGGAGCUGUCAACCGAGCGUGGAUCCGAGGAUGUCCGAAUGGGGAAACCCGGA